rnacentral:rRNA from 1 species
UACGGAGGGUGCAAGCGUUAUCCGGAUUCACUGGGUUUAAAGGGUGCGUAGGUGGGUCUGUAAGUCAGUGGUGAAAUCUUCGAGCUUAACUCGGAAACUGCCAUUGAUACUAUAUAUCUUGAAUUUUCUGGAGGUAAGCGGAAUAUGUCAUGUAGCGGUGAAAUGCUUAGAUAUGACAUAGAACACCAAUUGCGAAGGCAGCUUACUACGGGAAUAUUGACACUGAGGCACGAAAGCGUGGGGAUCAAACAGG